rnacentral:tRNA from 1 species
UGGGUUGUGGCUCAGUAGAGGAGCGCUUGCCUCGCAUGCAUGGGGCCCUGGGUUCGAUUCUCAGCACCACAU